rnacentral:rRNA from 2 species
UACGGAGGAUGCGAGCGUUAUCCGGAUUUAUUGGGUUUAAAGGGUGCGUAGGCGGCACGCCAAGUCAGCGGUGAAAUUUCCGGGCUCAACCCGGAAUGUGCCGUUGAAACUGGCGAGCUAGAGUGCACAAGAGGCAGGCGGAAUGCGUGGUGUAGCGGUGAAAUGCAUAGAUAUCACGCAGAACCCCGAUUGCGAAGGCAGCCUGCUAGGGUGCGACAGACGCUGAGGCACGAAAGCGUGGGUAUCGAACAGG